rnacentral:sRNA from 1 species
GAGAAGCUUCGACUAAGGUUCGAUUCGAGCGCAGCGAGAAAGCGUUGCCGCAGGCAACGACCCGAAGGGUGAGGAGC